UCUCUAAGGGUGGGGUCCGGAGAACUGGGUUUCGCAAGCUCUCGAUGCACGCUUAAGCUCUAGAACCACUGGCGUAGGUAAAUUGACGACCAUUUUACAAAUGAGGACGUAGAAUUUAAGAGAGGAUCCCCAAAGGCAGCUGUGAAGGCCAACAACACGAUUCGGCACACUGUGGACGCAUAUCAGCAACACCACUUGCCCUGGGGUGAUGUGUGAUUCCUUGAAAUGAAGAAGAUGAGAAAUCCCAUCACUAAAUCCAUUCGACAUGCUGAGGCACCAGAAACAUUUUCAGCUUGGACCUUUGUUUAUACACGGAGUUCCCGACACUCUUGCCCAGUUGGUAAACACUAAAAGAACAGCAUGACUUGGGCAUUGAACUUUACACUCAAAAUCUUGAUGCAUGAGGGUGAUGGAGAGGGCCAAGAUUGGGAGCUUCACGUAUUAACUGAUUUACUCAAUAAGUAUUUAUAUAUGACAUUCUACAUUCAUAUGUAGAGUUCUAUGUGAAUCUAGAACGUGAUAUGUAUAUUGAGUUCUAUGUGAAUAUACAAGGUGACAUAUAAAUGCUUCUUGAGAAUAUAUAUAUAUAUGAAUACAUGCCAUUCUAUAUAGUGUUAGAUGCUGGAGGUCAACAAAACACACAUAAACCCUGUCCUCAAGAAGCCUUCCAAGAAGGACACCAUGGUGUGCUGUAGGGAUGGAGAGAGAGCGAUGGAGCAGAGACGGGGGGCUGGGAACCAGUCUGGGAAUCAUGAAAAGCCCUUGGCCGAGGUCACCCUUCUGAUGGGUUUUGAAAAUACAAAGGAGCUGGGCAGAGAAGUGAGGGAACAGUGUCCCAUGCAGUGGGAAGUGCACUGUGAGAAUCUAGGCGCAUUCAGUGGCAGAAGAGGAAAAUAUCAGGUGGUUUGAUUUUAUCGGUAAAAAAAAAAAAUCAGGAAAUGAGGCUGCCAAGGUAGUCAGACCUUCCCCCUGAGACAGUGUGACCUUUAGAGAGAGAAGGGAACAGUGUUUGGAAGAAAGAGAGGGGUGCAACUGGAAUCUGUUUCACGAUCCGGGGGCUAGCUAUACAUAUGUGAUCAGUUUAUGAAGUUCCUUGAGCUUUCUGCUUAUGAUAUGUGCUUUUUCUAUACUACCUUUAAGUAAAAUCUUUAGAAAGGAAAGAAAACUAAAACUUGGUCCUGGGAGCCUCCGGAUCGCUGUGAAGGACCAGGGUGGAGGAGAAGCA
rnacentral:lncRNA from 1 species